CAGGGGCAUCGUGGUGAAGAACAUUAGCCAGAGGGCUCAGGUGCUCCCAGACGGUGGCUUGAUGGCCUGUGCCACGUCCCUCUGGUCCCACCUCCAGGAGCGGGAUCACUGGCAGUAUCCGAAAGAAAUGUGGACUUGCUGGGUCAGUGGCUUUGUGACCAUCAGACACCUCCUGGAGGACUCGGUGGGUGAGCUGAGAUUGGAUUAGGUGGCUUCUUUUGCAGCUUUAUUCAAAGGU